GGGAAAAUGAAAUUCCUAAAAGGUAACAGAGAAGAAUGAGGCAAAUAAAAAAUCAUGUUAUUAUGAAGAAAACUAUCAAAACCUAACUUGGCUUUCCGAGAAUGGCUGUGCAAACUCUUGGACCGUACUGAUGGGAACCCCGAAGUCCUGUCCGGCUUUACUGAUACGACAGCAGACUCUCUUGAUGAUUAUGUAGAGGUGGCUGAAGAUAAUCAUCGGCGGUGGGAGGACAGGUCUGUCAUGGAAUGUCAUAAUCAGCUGGUACCGCUGGAACUUCCAGACUUGGUUGGAUAUUGAUUUUACCUCAAAGAAGAUCAGACCUACGUUUUUCCUGUUUAUCACAAAGAAAGUAUAAAAGGGAAGUCAAAUGAACCAUAGUAUUAUUUACAUGGAUCAGUGAAAGUGCUGCUAAAGAAACACUAAUAUAUAGAUGAAACUGUUUCAGUAGAAAAACAAUUGACAUGUGAAUAUUGGGUAAGCCCUAUAAUUAUGGUAUCUACUGAAUACCUAGGAUCUAGUGAAGAAAAAGAUUAAUGAACGUAUUCUGCUAAAUUAGAUCAUCAGCAGCUCUCCAAAGAGACUUACGAUUGAUUUCCAUGGCAUAGACUGAAUGGCAUUCCAAAGGAACGAAAUAAGAAAGGAGGCAGGGAGAGAGGGAAAGAAAACAAUAGAAUAAUAUAAGGAAAACAGAAACCAAGAAAGAUGAUUGAAAAUACAGUUUUGUCACCAAGAAAAGAUAAGCAACUUAAAUGUUGUAACAGUGGAGACACAUGGUUAGAAACAAUGUCUUAGUUAAAACUGCACGGCAUUCUGCCAUUUCCUUUUCACAUUGUGUUCUCCAAAUGUUACACAAGGCAGCAAAUCCAUGAUAUUAAAAUAAAUCACAAAAUGCUGAUGGCAGAUGAUCAUGUAAACUUACAAGAUAUUUCAGGCAACUAACAAAACUGGCAGUCACCACAAACACAAAACAACUCGAAGUUACCACAUAAGAUCAUUCUUUCAGCUAUUAUGGAAUAUUUCCUCCUGAUUUUUUAUUAUUAUUUUAAGAAUCACCCUGGCUUUGAGUCUGCCAGCUGUUUCUGUUGAAUAGCUCUCUUUCCAUUAAUAGCCACGAUACUGCUGUUAUUAAAGUACAGUAUUACUAAAGCCCAUUUUAAUGGCAGUAUAGAUACCCGCUCGCCAACCCCUAAAUGGUGAGCAUAAGAAAAAUCACACUUUUGGAAGAAACUCAGCCAGUCUUUCCUAUCGCUAAUGAAUAUGUUGCUGUUGAAUACCACUGAUUUCUUGCCCAUGGGCAUCUUCUAAAUGGAGCGAACUAGACUGAGAAGCUUCCUGGGCUGCAUUAGGAAAAGAGUUACCAGCAAGUUGAGGAAGGUAGUUGUUCUCCUCUAUUCAGCCCUGGUGGAAGCACACCUGGACUGGUGUGUCAAGUUCCAGGCUCCCCAGUACUGGAAAGUAUCCAGCAAAGGGCCACAGAAAUGUUUAAGGUGACUGGAGCACUUGACAAAUGAAGCAAGGCUGGGAACUGGAACUAUUCAGCCUGGAGAAGAGAAGGCUCAGGAGAGAUCUUACAAAGGCAAGAGUACACCCAGCAGUGGUGGGGAGUAAAGAAGACAGCCAAACUCUUCUAAUAUAUACUAAAGGAAGCCAGCUCCACGUUUAACCAUCUGUACAAAUUUUGAAUAUUAACAAAAAACUAUCAGUAACAUGACAGUGUCCAUCUCCUCUAAGACAGAUUUUAUUUUCAUCUGUGCAGCUUUUGUGUAAGAAAUACUAUUUCCACACCUAAAGCCAAUCAAGCAGCUUUCCUUUAUUGUUUUGUUUUUCCAAAGAUGUAGAAAAGAACAUGAGUGAUUUAUGAAACUGAAAGAUUUCUGGAAAGUAGAUGUAUCAGUAUUAGUAAAAAUGUAUUAGCUCAUUGUUUGUGCUGUGAGCUGGAGAUAAAAAGGCAUGUAUACUUUUGUCUCCUG